GAUGAAGAACGCAGCGAAAUGCGAUAAGUAAUGUGAAUUGCAGAAUUCAGUGAAUCAUCGAAUCUUUGAACGCACAUUGCGCCCGCCAGUAUUCUGGCGGGCAUGCCUGUUCGAGCGUCAUUACAACCCUCAGGCCCCCGGGCCUGGCGUUGGGGAUCGGCGGAAGCCCCCUGCGGGCACAACGCCGUCCCCCAAAUACAGUGGCGGUCCCGCCGCAGCUUCCAUUGCGUAGUAGCUAACACCUCGCAACUGGAGAGCGGCGCGGCCACGCCGUAAAACACCCAACUUCUGAAUGUUGACCUCGAAUCAGGUAGGAAUACCCGCUGAACUUAAGCAUUUCAAUAAGCGGAGGA
rnacentral:misc_RNA from 1 species